rnacentral:lncRNA from 10 species
GUUGUUUUUGAUGCGCCGACAUUCCGUUUGUGAUAGUCUUGCCUCUAUCCGGCACUUCUUAGGCCUCAUCUCCUUGGCCUGGUUUGUGCAGUGGUUAAAAGGGGUUGAUUUAAUCCAGACCACCUGAGUUUAAAUCUAACUUUCCAGCUUUCUGGCUACACAACCUUGGGCAAAUUGCUCAGUAUCUCUGUGUCUGUUUCUUCAUCUAUAAAAUAUAUAGAUUUUGAUAAUACCUACAUCCUAAGGCUAUGAAAAUGGUUAAAUGAGUUAAUUCAUAUAAAGCAUGUAGAACAGUGCCUGGCUGGUAGUAAAUACACUGUAAAUGUCGUCUAUUAACAUAUUAUCCUCACCUCUGAUGCAUACUUGCUCACUUACCUUUUCUUUUCUCAAAACCACCUCUCAUAAAAUAAUCUGAAAUUCCUUAUUGAUCUCAUUCAAAAUCUGUUUCUCUCACAGGCGUAUCCUCAAAUGAAGCCUUGUCUCUGUGAAAUUCCUGAUAAAUCGUCAUUUUAUGGAAUGCCACAGGAAGAAGUUUUCUUUACAAGUUCUGAAGACUUGUGAUGAAUGAGUCCAUAGUUUCACCUUUGAAAAUGUCCCUGGGAGUGUCAACCCCAUCACUUUUACUUAUAUUACACUCAUAAUCAGUUCAUCUCGCCAAGAAAAAUAAUAUUAUCCUCAUGCCCAAACUUGUGACUUGAUUUGAAAACCAGUAAAUCAGAAAUAAAACUUCCCAUGUGUUUUUUUCCUACAUGAAUCCAAGUGACUCAGAUAUUGUGUUAUUCAAUAAGACUAUUACCAUGACUCAGGUAAAAGGGCCGUUUAUAUUUUCUGAAGUCUCAAGUCUAGGGUCCAAAAUAAAACUAGCAUCUUUUAUAGAAUAAUUUUUCUCUAAAAUGAAAUGUGUAUGUCACCUGGUUGUCAAAAUCCUUAUUUAAAUCUUUAAGGAGAAAAGCAAUGGUUUGGA